rnacentral:rRNA from 1 species
GAUGAACGCUGGCGGCGUGCCUAAUACAUGCAAGUCGAGCGAACGGACGAGACGCUUGCUUCUCUGAUGUUAGCGGCGGACGGGUGAGUAACACGUGGAUAACCUACCUAUAAGACUGGGAUAACUUCGGGAAACCGGAGCUAAUACCGGAUAAUAUUUUGAACCGCAUGGUUCAAAAGUGAAAGACGGUCUUGCUGUCACUUAUAGAUGGAUCCGCGCUGCAUUAGCUAGUUGGUAAGGUAACGGCUUACCAAGGCAACGAUGCAUAGCCGACCUGCGAGGGUGAUCGGCCACACUGGAACUGAGACACGGUCCAGACUCCUAAGGGAGGCAGCAGUAGGGAAUCUUACGCAAUGGGCGAAAGCCUUACGGAGCAAGCCCGCGUGAGUGAUGAAGGUCUUCGGAUCGUAAAACUCUGUUAUUAGGGAAGAACAUAUGUGUAAGUAACUGUGCACAUCUUGACGGUACCUAAUCAGAAAGCCACGGCUAACUACGUG